rnacentral:rRNA from 1 species
CCUACGGGUGGCAGCAGUAGGGAAUCUUUCACAAUGGGCGAAAGCCUGAUGGAGCAACGCCGCGUGCAGGAUGAAGGCCUUCGGGUUGUAAACUGCUUUUAUAAGCGAGAAAUAUGAUGGUAACUUAUGAAUAAGGAUCGGCUAGCUACGUGCCAGCAGCCGCGGUCAUACGUAGGAUCCGAGCAUUAUCCGGAGUGACUGGGUGUAAAGAGUUGCGUAGGUGGCAUAAUAAGUAUCUAGUGAAAUCUGGUGGCUCAACCAUUCAGACUAUUAGCUAAACUGUUAAGCUCGAGACCGUUAGGGGUAACUGGAAUUUCUAGUGUAGGAGUGAAAUCCGUAGAUAUUAGAAGGAACACCAAUAGCGUAGGCAGGUUGCUGGGACGGUUCUGACACUAAGGCACGAAAGCGUAGGGAGCAAACGGGAUUAGAUACCCCUGUAGUC